CAGUCGCCGCGGGAAUACAGAGGGUGCAAGCGUUAAUCGGAAUUACUGGGCGUAAAGCGCGCGUAGGUGGCUCGCCAAGUUGGAUGUGAAAUCCCCGGGCUCAACCUGGGAACUGCAUCCAAAACUGGGGAGCUAGAGUAUGGUAGAGGGUGGUGGAAUUUCCUGUGUAGCGGUGAAAUGCGUAGAUAUAGGAAGGAACAUCAGUGGCGAAGGCGACCACCUGGACUGAUACUGACACUGAGGUGCGAAAGCGUGGGGAGCAAACAGGAUUAGAGACCCCCGUAGUCCCUGUCUCUUAUAC
rnacentral:rRNA from 1 species